rnacentral:rRNA from 1 species
UACGUAUGGUGCAAGCGUUAUCCGGAUUUACUGGGCGUAAAGGGAGCGCAGGCGGUGCGCCAAGUCUGAUGUGAAACCCCGGGGCUCAACCCCGGGCAUGCAUUGGAAGCUGGCGGGCUGGAGUGCCGGAGAGGUAAGCGGAAUUCCUAGUGUAGCGGUGAAAUGCGUAGAUAUUAGGAGGAACACCAGUGGCGAAGGCGGCUUACUGGACGGCAACUGACGCUGAGGCUCGAAAGCGUGGGGAGCAAACAGG